rnacentral:rRNA from 1 species
UAUUGGACAAUGGGCGCAAGCCUGAUCCAGCCAUGCCGCGUGAGUGGUGAAGGCCUCCCGCCCUGUAAAGCUCUUUUGCCGGGGACGAUAAUGACGGUACCCGGAGAAUAAGUCCCGGCUAACUUCGUGCCAGCAGCCGCGGUAAUACGAAGGGGACUAGCGUUGUUCGGAAUCACUGGGCGUAAAGCGCACGUAGGCGGAUUUGUAAGUCAGGGGUGAAAUCCCGGGGCUCAACCUCGGAACUCCCUUUGAUACUGCGAAUCUUGAGUCCGAUAGAGGUGGGUGGAAUUCCUAGUGUAGAGGUGAAAUUCGUAGAUAUUAGGAAGAACACCGGUGGCGAAGGCGGCCCACUGGAUCGGUACUGACGCUGAGGUGCGAAAG